rnacentral:tRNA from 1 species
GUCGCUAUUGCUUAAUGGUAAAGCAGAACACUGUUAAUGUUUAGAUAGAGGUUCGAUUCCUCUUAGUGACU